UGGGGAAUAUUGGACAAUGGGCGAAAGCCUGAUCCAGCCAUGCCGCGUGUGUGAUGAAGGCCUUAGGGUUGUAAAGCACUUUUGUCAGGGAAGAUAAUGACGGUACCUGAAGAAUAAGCACCGGCUAACUUCGUGCCAGCAGCCGCGGUAAUACGAAGGGUGCUAGCGUUGUUCGGAAUCACUGGGCGUAAAGCGCGCGUAGGCGGCGAUAUAAGUCAGAGGUGAAAGCCUGGAGCUCAACUCCAGAACUGCCUUUGAAACUAUAUUGCUAGAGUGUCGGAGGGGAUAGCGGAAUUGCUAAUGUAGAGGUGAAAUUCGUAGAUAUUAGCAGGAACACCGGUGGCGAAGGCGGCUAUCUGGACGACAACUGACGCUGAGGCGCGAAAGCGUGGGGAUCAAACAGG
rnacentral:rRNA from 1 species